AGAGUUUGAUCCUGGCUCAGAACGAACGCUGGCGGCAGGCUUAACACAUGCAAGUUGAACGGGAUUUGUAUGGUGCUUGCACCAUGUAAUGAGAGUAGCGCACUGGUGAGUAACACGUGGGAACAUACCUUGAAGUGGGGGACAACAGUUGGAAACGACUGCUAAUACCGCAUAAUCCCUGAGGGGGAAAGAUUUAUCGCUUUAAGAUUGGCCCGCGGAAGAUUAGGUAGUUGGUGGGGUAACGGCCUACCAAGCCGACGAUCUAUAGCUGGUCUGAGAGGACGAACAGCCACAUUGGAACUGAGACACGGUCCAGACUCCUACGGGAGGCAGCAGUGAGGAAUAUUGGGCAAUGGAGGAAACUCUGACCCAGCCAUGCCGCGUGAGUGAAGAAGGUUUUCGAAUUGUAAAGCUCUUUCGGAUGGGACGAUGAUGACGGUACCAUCUAAAGAAGCCCCGGCAAACUUCGUGCCAGCAGCCGCGGUAAUACGAAGGGGGCAAGCGUUGUUCGGAAUUACUGGGCGUAAAGGGUGUGUAGGCGGAUUUGUAAGAUAGUGGUGAAAUACCUGAGCUCAACUUAGGAAUUGCCAUUAUAACUAUAGAUCUGGAGUGACAGAGAGGAUAUUGGAAUACCCAGUGUAGAGGUGAAAUUCGUAGAUAUUGGGUAGAACACCAGUGGCGAAGGCGAGUAUCUGGCUGUCAACUGACGCUGAGGCACGAAAGCAUGGGGAUCAAACAGGAUUAGAUACCCUGGUAGUCCAUGCUGUAAACGAUGAAUGCUAGUUGUCGGCAAAAGCCGGUGACGCAGUUAACGCGAUAAGCAUUCCGCCUGGGGAGUACGGUCGCAAGAUUAAAACUCAAAGGAAUUGACGGGGACCCGCACAAGCGGUGGAGCAUGUGGUUUAAUUCGAAGCAACGCGAAGAACCUUACCAAGUCUUGACAUCCCGGUGACCGGACAGUAAUGUGUCCUUUUCUUCGGAACACCGGUGACAGGUGGUGCAUGGUUGUCGUCAGCUCGUGUCGUGAGAUGUUGGGUUAAGUCC
rnacentral:rRNA from 1 species